rnacentral:pre_miRNA from 1 species
CCCUUCAUUCCACCGGAAUCUGUAGAGACAGAAACCAGAUUUCAGUGAGAUGAAGCGCA